rnacentral:rRNA from 1 species
GGAUACAGCCAUACUGCGCAGAAAGCACCGCUUCCCAUCCGAACAGCGAAGUUAAGCUGAGCCAGGCGAUGUUAGUACUGGGGUGGGCGACCACCCGGGAAUCCACCGUGCCGUAUCCU